GACGAACGCUGGCGGCGUGCCUAAUACAUGCAAGUAGAACGCUGAAGGAGGAGCUUGCUUCUCUGGAUGAGUUGCGAACGGGUGAGUAACGCGUAGGUAACCUGCCUGGUAGCGGGGGAUAACUGUUGGAAACGAUAGCUAAUACCGCAUAAGAGUAGAUGUUGCAUGACAUUUGCUUAAAAGGUGCAAUUGCAUCACUACCAGAUGGACCUGCGUUGUAUUAGCUAGUUGGUGGGGUAACGGCUUACCAAGGCGACGAUACAUAGCCGACCUGAGAGGGUGAUCGGCCACACUGGGACUGAGACACGGCCCAGACUCCUACGGGAGGCAGCAGUAGGGAAUCUUCGGCAAUGGACGGAAGUCUGACCGAGCAACGCCGCGUGAGUGAAGAAGGGUGUCGGAUCGUAAAGCUCUGUUGUAAGAGAAGAACGAGUGUGAGAGUGGAAAGUUCACACUGUGACGGUAUCUUACCAGAAAGGGACGGCUAACUACGUG
rnacentral:rRNA from 1 species